UUCUUUUUAAUGGAACUAUUGUAUUAUAGUGAUUAUAGGGACAAUGCUACUGAAAUUUUAAACGACUGUGGUCUCGUGCUAAUAUAGCCUACUGUUUAAAAUCCUCACUUAUUAACAUAGCAAAAGUAUGAAUGCUCAACAAACAAUAAUGUUUUAUUAUUAUUAUUAUUAUUAUUAAAUAAAAUGUUAGUUUAGCAUAUAAGGUUCACGGGGUUUACAGAAAAAAUGCUGAUAAUAUAGCAAAUAUCUCUACUACAUAGAGCAGCAACUACCAGCGUUUCGAGUCAGUUCUUUCCAUAUUACUAAUUCAAAACGGCUUCUCUGAGUGCGCAAAACAAGUAUGCUAGCUAUCUGUCUACUGACAGGCACUGCUAACAGAGCAGCAAGCAGAAGCUGCCUCAGACUUGGCAGUCUGUCAUCUUCAGCUGCGUGACCAGAACAACAACUGAUCAGUAAAACACCACACCGAAGAUCAGGUCCUUCCAUUAGAACUGAUUGGAAACAUGAAGUAAAGGACGGCCACUACCUGUUACGUCCCAGUGUGAUGUCUGAAAUGAUAGAGCUUAUGAAGGAUGCAGCAGGAUCUAGACUUCAGCCAUGAAAACUGCAUGCUGCUUAGAGAGACAAUGAGACGCAAGAGGCAUUUGGAAAAAUUACACGAUCACCUCAUCUGUACACACUGAGGUGUGAGGUGGGCAGAAGUGACAUCGUUACGGAAAGACAACCAGUACCUUGCCUUAUCAACAUCACUCAGAUCAGUGUUUGGCUCCUGAUGAAAAGCUGAACUGUUGACCGGCAAUAGGACACAUGGGAAGAAUAAUCAUGGAGAGCAGAGGAGAAUCAUCAUCAUCAUCCUCAGUAGAGAGCCAGAAUUGCUUUUGCCACUCCACAGCUGUCUUCUCUGCAUACGACAAUCAGUUUGACUGCAGAGUGGCUCUUCAAGAAGAACCGAGGCGGCUUCCAUCAGGCUCACCGUCUGCGCCGGUUGCACGGUGUGGAUCCGGUUUACAACCCGAUUACGAAACGCGCAGCCGAACACCUUCUUGAAGCCCUUUCGAAAGUGUUUAGACACCAGGGCGUAGACAAUGGGGUUCAAGCAGGAGUUGGUGUACGCCACCAAAUGAGAGAGAAU